GUGUAAUAAUAUCCCAAUAAAUUUCCCAAAAAAGUCAUCGACCUCCAUUUUUGCUGUGUGUCUCUCUCUGUCUCACUCUGCGAAACUUGGUUCCUGGAUAUUUUCAGACCAAAAAUGGAGGCUGAGCAAGUUGGGGAGCUUGUGUCUGUAACAUUCACAUGGACGAUUGAUCAAUUCUCUAGGUUGAAAUCCCAGAAGCAUUACUCAGAGGGUUUUUCUGUUGGUGAUUUUCAAUGGCAGAUGGUUGUGUAUCCAAAGGGAAGCAGUGGAAUUCCCGGAAAGCACGAUUUGUCGAUAUAUUUGAAUGUUGUAAAUGCUUCAGCAUUGCCAUCUGGGUGGAGUAGAUAUGCCCAGUUCACCUUGACUGUGGUGAAUCAAGUUGACCGUGAUAAGUCAAUCACAGUAGAAACUAAACAUGUGUUCAGUGAAAGUAAAAGUGAUUGGGGCUUCACAUCAUUCAUGCCUCUAAGUGAGCUUUGUGAUUGUACCAGAGGGUUUCUUGUGAAUGAUAUAUGUGUUCUUGAAGCCGAGGUUGCAGUUAGUCAGGUUGACUAUAAGAUUUCGGAAGUCCAAGAAACUUGGUUUUGUACACCCAUAGUGCCCCCAAAGCAUGAAGAUCAAACGCUAGGACCUUCAAAUGUGGAUUCUGUGCUAGUUACACAGUCUUCACAACCUCUCAGGGAACCUUGGUCUGAACAGGUGCUUAACUCUUCAAUAGCACUUACGACACGAAGUUUUGAUCAAGUGCUUGCUUUCCAGGAUUCACCAAGUUCUGAACAAGCUUGCACUGAGCUUAAUGAUAGUCCUGUUGUCUCUUCCAUAAUCAAGGAACAUGAGCAAACGCCCUCCAUCCCAGUUGGCAAGCUCGUGGAUUUCAAGGGUUUAGGGCAAAUAGAGAAAGAUUUUGUUCCAUUGCUGGAGGAAGUCUGUUUGUUGCAUCCUUCAUUGAUUGAAUGCCAAAGGAAGAGAAGUCGUAUGUUUAAUGAAUGGGCAUUCACAGCUUUGGGUAGACUCCUGUAUUUUCUACAGACUACAAGGGGUAAGGAUAUGGUUGAGGAUGCCUGUAAGCACCUUCAAAUUUUAUGGGAGGAGCUUGAGACCUUCAGAUUUGACUUGGCUUGGUUGGAGCCUCAUGUUCAAUCCGCCUUGGGUAUGAACAAGUUUGUGGAAAGGGCACGACUGGUGAAAGAACAGAGAGACAAUGUGGAUGCUCUGGAGAUUGAAGUCAAGAGGUUAAAAGCUAGGCUAGUUGUUGCAACGCUAGAGUUUCAGGUUGCAAAAACAGACAUGGGAUUGGCAGAAGAAAGCUGUGUUGAAAUAAAUAUGGAUGGUGAGCUUGGUUAUGGGAGGCGUGCCUUUCUUUAGAAUUCACUCUUUGAUGACAAACAUAUGCAAUAUAUGUUUAUAUAUGUAUUACAUAUGCAACUCCCAUGUUAAGCAUGAUCCUAUUUAUAAACCAUCAUGCUGGAAAAGAACCCUCCAUUGCAAUUUUUGUUCUGAACUAAACCCUUCCAUCUGAAGUAACACUCCCUCCCCUGCCUCCAUCUGCACAGUAGCGAAAUCCCUGUGCAUGGUGAGGUCCAAUAAUCCCAAGCAACAUGUCCACCGGCAUCAUGACAAUGCAUUAUAUGCCUGUCCAGAUAUGUGCAGGAAUCGCUUUUCCGAACAGACUAGAAUCACCUCCUUG